rnacentral:rRNA from 1 species
UACGGGGGGGGCAAGCGUUGUUCGGAAUUACUGGGCGUAAAGGGCUCGUAGGCGGCCAACUAAGUCGGAUGUGAAAUCCCCAGGCUCAACCUGGGAACUGCAUCCGAUACUGGAUGGCUUGAAUUCGGGAGAGGGAUGCAGAAUUCCAGGUGUAGCGGUGAAAUGCGUAGAUAUCUGGAGGAACACCGGAGGCGAAGGCGAAUCACUGGACCGCUUCUGACGCUGAGGCGCGAAAGCUAGGGGAGCAAACAGG